UAUAUUCAACUUUUCACUGCACUUUACAAGUUCCUGCCUUCAGCCGGUCUCGUUUGUUCUUUUUCUUAAGAAAUUUUUUAAUUUUUUUUUUUUUUUUUGGAUUUCAUUUAAGGUUUUUCUUUACAAAGGAAAGGGGUCUUUCUUGCCUCCUUCCUCAGGCGGCUUGGGUCUAAAGUGCAAACUCUCCCGAGACUUCGACCCUUCUUCCAGCUCCAGAUCUCUCCCCACCCCCUACGAGCCCACCCCUUAGACUUUCUCCCUCCCCACCGAGCGAGCGCGCCCCAGGGCCGGACGCCUGCUCCCGAGCGUACUCGCUGCGGGACCAGCACCCAGGGCGCUGCAGACGGUACAGGGGGAUCAAGCCAGAGAGCAGUGAGAGCAUCUUUUCUGCACCAUCCCGUCCAUGUCUUGGGCAACAGGCAGGUCAACAUUGAGGCAGGAGACCGUCAAGUCAAAGAAGCCACGGGUGCCUCACUGACCCCUCAUUCACCGUGAUCACCUCAACCGCGUGACCCAAAGACCAUUGAAUCCAAGCUUGGCCCCAUAUGGCGCCACCCUGGGCCUUGGAAUUACUAGCCAGACACUGUUCUCACUUCAGAGGGUAUGAUGGAUAGGAUUGGACCAUUUAAACAAGCAGAGCAAAUAUAAUUCCUGAACAAGACCAUGCUUUAGGUGCCACAUAGUGGCCUUAAAACCAACCAGCAUCCUUGAGAAGAUUAUAAAUGUCAGUAUUUGAUUUUUUUUUUUUUUUUUUUUGCUUUAUCACCCCUUUUUGAGCAUUCUUACUCUCGAGCCCAGGCUAAUAGACAUGGCAAUGCUCUUGGCAGCCAACCGACAUGUUAAUAAAUACAAGGAGCCCAUGUGCCUGUGUCA
rnacentral:lncRNA from 1 species